rnacentral:rRNA from 1 species
AAUGAACGUUGGCGGCAUGGAUUAGGCAUGCAAGUCGAGCGAGAAGUGUAGCAAUACACGGAAAGCGGCGGAAGGGAGAGUAAUACGUGGGAAUCUGCCCUUAGACCUGGGAUAGCAGCGGGAAACUGCUGGUAAUACCAGAUAAUGUCUAUGGACCAAAGGCGUGAUUCCGUCUAGGGAUGAGCCCACGUCCUAUUAGCUAGUUGGUAGGGUAAUGGCCUACCAAGGCGAUGAUGGGUAGCGGGUGUGAGAGCAUGACCCGCCUCACUGGGACUGAGACACUGCCCAGACACCUACGGGUGGCUGCAGUCGAGAAUCUUCGGCAAUGGGCGCAAGCCUGACCGAGCGAUGCCGCGUGCGGGAUGAAGGCCUUCGGGUUGUAAACCGCUGUCGAGGGGGAGCAACUUCCAUAGAGUUAUCUUUAUGGAUUGAGUGAUCCCUGGAGGAAGGACGGGCUAACUUCGUGCCAGCCGCCGCCGUAAAAC